rnacentral:lncRNA from 1 species
GAGGGGGAAACCAGGAGAAAACUCUUCUCCUCAAAACCUAACAAAGAAAUCAUCAAAAUCAAGAGGCUUUAAGGCUGAAUUCUUGGUGCAUGAGUUAGGAAUUUAGGUCUCCUAACUAUAUUUGAUAUCAAGCACGAAGAAAGAAGAAAGCACGAGUCAUUUGAAGUCACAAGCAAUGCAAGAUCACGGCACGAAGAAAGAAGAAAGCACGAGUCAUUUGAAGUCACAAGCAACGCAAGAUCACGGUAAAUAGUCCCUUGGAGCAAAUUCUUGAACCGGAGGAACGAACACACAUCGCGCCAUUUAAUUGCUUCCGCUCGUCAAGUUCUUUAAAGGGUUGGUAGUGUCUUUUGGUUAAUGGAUGUUUUUUUUAUUAUGAUGUAACGGUUACAACUUUUAUGUCUUUUGGAAACGUGUCGUAGAAUUUAGUUCUAAAUGUAGAAUUUAGUUUGAAUGGUGAUUUUUUAAAAGCAGGGAAUCGCUUAUGUUACAAACGGGUCAUGCCCGAUUUUUGUUAAAAUUUGUAUGUUAUUAUUUUUAUAUUCGAAUGUGA